GUUGCUUCUCAACUUUUUGGUCAAGAUCAAGUAUAAUAUCUGUUCUCAUCAGUUUAAUAUCUGGUCCAUCCUCUAUCUGAAGACAAGAGAUUAAAUGGAUUUUUGGAGCAGGGAGAUGCAAUAGGAGCUUGCUCCAACCCCACACAUGGACAUGGUAUUGCAGUACCUCCUGGAACGCUGCGCCCUCC
ensembl:snRNA U2 U2 spliceosomal RNA